rnacentral:rRNA from 1 species
UAGGGAAUCUUCGGCAAUGGACGAAAGUCUGACCGAGCAACGCCGCGUGAGUGAAGAAGGUUUUCGGAUCGUAAAACUCUGUUGUUAGAGAAGAACAAGGACGUUAGUAACUGAACGUCCCCUGACGGUAUCUAACCAGAAAGCCACGGCUAACUACGUGCCAGCAGCCGCGGUAAUACGGAGGUGGCAAGCGUUGUCCGGAUUUAUUGGGCGUAAAGCGAGCGCAGGCGGUUUCUUAAGUCUGAUGUGAAAGCCCCCGGCUCAACCGGGGAGGGUCAUUGGAAACUGGGAGACUUGAGUGCAGAAGAGGAGAGUGGAAUUCCAUGUGUAGCGGUGAAAUGCGUAGAUAUAGGGAGGAACACCAGUGGCGAAGGCGGCUCUCUGGUCUGUAACUGACGCUGAGGCUCGAAAGCGUGGGGAGCAAACAGG